AGAGUUUGAUCAUGGCUCAGAUUGAACGCUGGCGGCAGGCCUAACACAUGCAAGUCGAGCGGUAGCACAGAGAGCUUGCUCUCGGGUGACGAGCGGCGGACGGGUGAGUAAUGUCUGGGAAACUGCCUGAUGGAGGGGGAUAACUACUGGAAACGGUAGCUAAUACCGCAUAACGUCGCAAGACCAAAGUGGGGGACCUUCGGGCCUCAUGCCAUCAGAUGUGCCCAGAUGGGAUUAGCUAGUAGGUGGGGUAACGGCUCACCUAGGCGACGAUCCCUAGCUGGUCUGAGAGGAUGACCAGCCACACUGGAACUGAGACACGGUCCAGACUCCUACGGGAGGCAGCAGUGGGGAAUAUUGCACAAUGGGCGCAAGCCUGAUGCAGCCAUGCCGCGUGUGUGAAGAAGGCCUUCGGGUUGUAAAGCACUUUCAGCGGGGAGGAAGGCGAUAAGGUUAAUAACCUUGUCGAUUGACGUUACCCGCAGAAGAAGCACCGGCUAACUCCGUGCCAGCAGCCGCGGUAAUACGGAGGGUGCAAGCGUUAAUCGGAAUUACUGGGCGUAAAGCGCACGCAGGCGGUCUGUCAAGUCGGAUGUGAAAUCCCCGGGCUCAACCUGGGAACUGCAUUCGAAACUGGCAGGCUAGAGUCUUGUAGAGGGGGGUAGAAUUCCAGGUGUAGCGGUGAAAUGCGUAGAGAUCUGGAGGAAUACCGGUGGCGAAGGCGGCCCCCUGGACAAAGACUGACGCUCAGGUGCGAAAGCGUGGGGAGCAAACAGGAUUAGAUACCCUGGUAGUCCACGCCGUAAACGAUGUCGAUUUGGAGGUUGUGCCCUUGAGGCGUGGCUUCCGGAGCUAACGCGUUAAAUCGACCGCCUGGGGAGUACGGCCGCAAGGUUAAAACUCAAAUGAAUUGACGGGGGCCCGCACAAGCGGUGGAGCAUGUGGUUUAAUUCGAUGCAACGCGAAGAACCUUACCUGGUCUUGACAUCCACAGAACUU
rnacentral:rRNA from 8 species